rnacentral:rRNA from 1 species
CGCUUGGCCGGCGGCCCCCUUUCCAGGCUUGUGCAGUCGUCUCUGGGGAAUCGGAAUUCUCCCGACUCCGUGUGGGGGUGGAAAUGCGCGACUCGGCCGCGGCCUUCCGAUGGGUGAGAAGGCACGCGGGAGCGGAUUCCCCCCCUUUUGAACGCGCGCGUUGCCCGGUAGAAGAUUAGGCGCGCGCCGGCCAGACGCACUUCGCUGCAGGAAAGCCUCGGAAACGAUUCGGAAUGUUUCUACGAGUCGAUUGCCUGCAUGUGGGAAGGAGAUGCGUUAGCCGGUGCCCUUUUCUCCCGCGGAGAACGCACCCUUUGCCAAGCUGGACGCGAUCCGUCGUAGUCCGCCGUCGGUCUAAGUGCUUCGCAGUCUCUGCCCCAAGUAACCUGGGUCACUCCAGUGGGGGCGGGGGCGAACGUUUCUUGAGAUGAUGCUCGGCUCCCGGUUGAGGUCGUCCUCGUGAGGGUUUGCGAGGCGGCAGGGAAUUAUUCGACCGCGGGUGCACACGAGCCGCCUUAUCGUUUCUGCUGCGCCGUUGGGUUGUGCUUACCCCGUCUUUUGGCGACUGGCGGUAGUGUUCCGGGGAGUGAGAACGCGAAACCCUUUGCUUUGAGAGACGGUGCGGUGUGACGCGCCCGACAGCGCCGGAAACGAAAGACGUAUAUAUCCGUGUCGACCUCAGAUCAGGCGAGACAACCCGCUGAAUUUAAGCAUAUCACUAAGCGGAGGAAAAGAAACCAACAGGGAUUCCCUUAGUAGCUGCGAGCGAAACGGGACCUAGCCCAGCACCGAAUCCCUCGUCCUUGCCGGCGAUCGGGAAAUGUGGUGUAUGGGAGGCGACGUUCUCGGGUGUUUGCGACGGUGCAAGUCCCCCUGACAGGGGCUUGUCCCAGAGUGGGUGCCAGGCCCGUCUCCGCCGUGCGCGCCCGAGAGA